GCAAACACUAAUGUACAACUCCCAGCUCUCACUCAGCCUUUCCUGUAUGGGAGGUAAAGUUCUCCAUAUUUGAAACUAUGGCUACUGUGAUAAGUAGGCAGCAAAUGGUGUGUGUAUGAAGAGAGAGAGUCAUGCUUAGCCUGCCUUUUUUUUCCUGGGCAUGGUACUACAUUUGCAAAAACAGCUGAGAUUAGAAGUGAACUUCGCUGUGAUUCCCAGCUCUGUGAACAGUGAGUUUUUGAGGAAUCUUGGGAGACUCGUUUGCUAAUCAGUGCUGAAAUUUGGUCUCCUUCUGUGUCCCCUCUACCCACAACUCUUCAGAUGGUCAUAAGUUUGUCCUGGUGAACAGAUGAAAACAGAAUUCCACCAGGGUGUGGGAUGGGCGAUGGUAGACUUGGAGGCACUCUGAGCUCAC
rnacentral:lncRNA from 1 species